GUGCUGCUGAACUCUCUCUGUCAUUCCUCAGGCCGGACUCGUCUGACGGGCCACGCCGAGGUGCUGAUUUGUUCCUGAAUGUUCCUCUCAGUCUUCAUUCCUCCUCCGAAACCACAGGCAGCUCCUCUCACAGGCCAGAGGGCUGAGGAGCGCGUGCUCGCGGCGCUAGCCGGUGUUCAUACUUCAGCCUGGCACUCACUCAAACCCACGUAUAGAUACGCUCAGUCUGGAUUAAUCCCAGCGUGGGAGAGGAUUAUUAUUUUAUGGUGAGAGUUUCUGUCUGAUUGAGGACAAUGCGGGGCUGAAGGUGAAGACUGUUUAUGUGAAGAAGAGCUGGAAGGAUUCGUCAUCAAAAUGGAUGAGGAUAAAGGGGUGGACUUCCAGUCCCUGAAGGCUAGGUUCCAGAAUGAUGAAACUUUGAAGAUCCGAGUCAAACCUGCCAUCCCAGAAAAACCCAAAGCUCUCACCUCUCCAACCUUUCCCACCUCGCCCACCACCAAAAUAAGCAAUCCUCUGGUUACCAGCAUCAUGGAGAACCGCAUGUCCUUUACUCCUCGAGUGGUCUUCAAAGAUGACAAAAAGAGCCCCGGCAAGCGGCCGGUAUCAAUGCCCGAACCUUUACCAUUAAACAUGAAUCCUGAAUUGGUGGACAAGAAGCAAAAAAAGGAAGGGGAUCUUAUCAAACAAGCAUUGAAAGAUAAGAAUCUUCCCCUGGUUUUGCCUGUAAAUCCUGUUAUUCCAGUCAUUGAAGAGACCCCCAAACCUGAUCCUAUCUCAGCCUCUUCAGCUGUGGCAUCUCCAAGCAAAGUUUCCACACCUAAAAAGAAGAAUUUUUUCAACUUUUCAAAAUCGCCCAAAGCUGAGAAAGAAAAGAGAGACAUUGCAGAAAGUACAGUUCCAGUGAACCCUGCACUUGAUCAUCUUGCUCCCAGCAGCUCCACUCCAGUCAACUCAACUCCUAUAGUUAAUAAGCCUGUGUCUUACAAGGCUCUCGUUCCCCCAAGUCAAGCAGAAGUUGUUCCAGCAUCCAGUAGUCCAAUCAUCCCUGUUAUUCCUGCUCCAGUUAUUUCUAAUCCUGCCAUUCCUGAGCCAGAGGUUCCUGAAGUGCGGACAGUUCCAGAAAUGGACAUUGUGUCCCAGGUUUGUUCUGAACCAGACAUCUUAAAGCCAAAAAGUCCUAUUCCAGUUGCAGUGCCAGAUGUAUCUUUGCCUGAGAACAUGACGACAGAAAUGCCAGAUUCUACAGAGAUGCCAGAUAUUCUUGAUAUGGAUAUUCCUCCUCCAAUUAUUCCUGAAGACAUUCUAGAUGCAGAUAUUUAUUCCCUAGAUAUACCUGUCCCAGUUACUCCUGAUCUUUUUAUCACUGCACUUUCUACUUCAUCUACUCCACCUUCCAGCAGUCCCAAUCUCUCCCGCACAGCCUCCCCUGCCCCAGUCAGAUCUGCAUCAGUCACACCUGAGCCAGCUAACCUGGUUCUGCCAACGCUAACCCCAAAUCCAGAUGCAGCUUCUAGCCCAAGAACUUCUCCAAUAUUGUCAUCUGCAGCUACAGACGUAAAGCCGGUGACAGAAAACGGCACUGCUGAAUCUCAUGAAGGGAUGGACCAGACAGAGAAGACACCAGAGCUUCUGUCAUCCACUUCAUCCACACCCAUUUCAGCCUUGUCUGUUUUAGCAAGAGCUGAGGAGAUGGCCCCCGUCAAACACACCAUUUGUGAUCAGAGAGUGCUGAAUCUUCUAGAAAAGGCUAAGAGAAAGCAUAAUGUGAGCCACCAGACACCCACACCUACUACACCUGAAUCUCCAGGAAUGGUCUUACCUGACACAACCUCUCCAGCAUUGGCUCCAGUUGAGUCUUCAACACCGAAGAAUUUACAUCCUGAAGCCACCCAAGCUGAACCAGCCCCAGCAGUGGAAGCUGCACAGGUCCGACAAUCUCUUGUUGUGGAUCUUCCUGAUAUCCCUCCAGUUGACUAUGAGGAUCAGUCGGGGGAUAGAGCUUCAGUCAGGUCUAAUACCCCUAGCUCUGAAACAGCCCUGACUAACGGCCUAGAUCACAACCGUGCUUCACCCGCUCCUAAAGUGCUGACUGUGCACAAACCUGCUGCAGCGAAGGGUAAGCCUCCGCCACCUCCACCUAGAAAGACCCCCGUGACUGUACCCAAUGGAAGCAUCACGCCAGAGAAGCCAGCGUGUGUCCUGAGCACAGAUCUACAGACCUCCACUCUGGCGGAUCAGCCAGUGGAGGAAAACGGGAUCAUUAUUCCGGCUCCAGUGGAUUUCACCUCAGAAAAUUCGUCAUUGGACGAUUCAGAAUUUGAUGAUUCAUCUGAACCAGUUGCUCUCGAGGAUCCACAACAAGCUGAACUUCCAGAACAUGAAAGUUUUGCAUUUUCAGUUCAUGAACAAGCCUUUUUGGAACAGUUAUAUCCAGAAUAUCAGACAAAUUCAGAGGAGUUUGUUCCAAGUGUGGAGACCACAGAAACCGAUUCUGCUCCAAAAGCAACAGGAACUCCAGAUUCAGUCCCAGACUCUCCUGUCAGUCCAUCUCCAUCAGGGACCCUGGAGAUGAAUGACAACGGUGACAAUAACAUCUAUGAAGACCUAGCAGCCAACAAGAGACAAAAAUCCACUAAGAAACCACGCAAAAUAGUUCCCAUGAAUCCAUAUGCUGAUUCUGUUAAUGUGAAUGAAGACUCCUCAAGAAAAACCUUGUUUGCCAGAAAGAAUGCAAGCCCGGAUGUGAAAGAACUGAAGAAGAAGGAGAAACAGAAAGAGAAAGAGAAGGAAAAAGAAAAGAAGGAGCAAAAAGAGAAAGAACGAGAGAAGAAGGAAAAAGAAAAGAAGGAGAAAGAAAAGAAGGAAAAAGGAAAAGAGAAGAAGGAGCAAAAAGAAAAGAAGGAGCAGAAAGAUAAGGGAAAAGAAAAAGAAAAGGAGCAAAAAGAAAAGGAGCUGGAAGAGAAGCAAAAAGAGAAGAAGGAGCUAAAAGAGAAGGAAAAAGAAAAGAAGGAGCAUAAAGAGAAGGACAAGGACAAGAGUGAGCAGAAAGAAAAAGAGCACAAAGACAAAGAAAAAGAAAAGAAGGAACAGAGAGAGAGGGAAAGAGAGAAGAAGGAACAAAAAGAGAAAGAGAAGAAGGAAGCUGAACUAAAGAAAAAAUUCAAGAUUACAGGAGAGGAGGAGGCGAUGUAUGAGAUCAAGGCAAGGGAGACCUGCAAAGGCCGUAAGAAUGACCUGGCAGUAAAGGCUGGAGAGACAGUCAGCAUUAUCCGCACCACUGACUGCCCUAAAGGAAAAUGGCUGGCCAGGGACAGCAACAACAGAUAUGGGUAUAUCUCAGUGGAGAGUGUGGAGCUGGAUGUACAGGAGAUGAUGGAGCUUGGGAAGAAAGCUAAAGCAACCAGCAGACCCAACAGCUCUGCAUUCACCGACCCUGAGGUUACAAGCACAGGCAGCAGAUCCUCAACCCCUUACAUCUUGAACCAAGACCUACACCAAGAGAGUUUCACAGAUGACAGCGAGGAAUGGUGUGAUGAGGAUGAUGCACCAUUUACUCCCACUGACAGCACUGAUCUAGACCUAAAUCUGACAGAAUCUCCUAUGGAAAGAGUGAGUCCAGAGACAGAUCCAGCUCAGCAAGCUCAGACUGAUGGAAAUGAUAAUGUUCAAGCAAGACAUGAAGCACUUCAGAAACUGGCAACCUUCUUUGCGCAGCCUAAAAUGCCUGGACAUGCUACUACGAACAGGAACACCAUAAUUGAAGAACCAGAGCCAGAGCCACACAGAAUGUAGAUCUGCAGAUACUGCCUCCUCCAGACCUCUACGCAGACCUCAUUGACGGAGACUCGGAGGGCAUCUACUGCAAUUGAUUCACACCUAAAGUUCAGAGAGACCGGAAGUGCCAUCAGGACGGGCGAUUACUGACUUGGUUUAUUGUGUCUGGAGCUGCGCUGUUGGAACUCUUUCUCUUUCCUGACUGGUAUGAAAGAAUGCUGUCAGGGUGUGCUGGUAUGCGCACGGUGUACAGCUGCGUAAAGGCAGGACUUCCUUUAAUUUCUAUUUGACGUAAAAAUUGCUUUGCUUCUUGAAGUAUAAAUUACCUUUAGGAGGAAAAUAUGACUUCCCUUCCUUCAGCUGGGUGUUUUUUUUUUUUUUUUUACUUCCGUCACGCUCUCCUGCGUGACCUUAAUUCACUCUAGAUGACUUUGGCUGUAGAUAUGAUCUUGUGUAAAGAAAGGGUUUGGAACAGAUAAAGCUUAAGUAAAAUAAACAUACAGCAUUUUUACUGAGAUUAUGCCAGCUAAAGUGCAUAUUCUGUUUUUGUGUAUUUAGCAUAAACCAUUUUGUGUUACUUUCAUAUAAAGAAAGCCUCAUUUUUUGUGUCCCAUCUCACAGUUCUUACAGAAGCUACACAGCACUGUGGAAAAAAGCCGGGAUUCAAUUCUGUUGUGCUUUUAUAGUAUUACGUCCAUUUUACAAUCUUGAGAUAUCCAUUUGGUGUUAUUUUAAACAUGUGAAGUGCUUGUAAACCUCUUGUUUGAGUGGGUUUUUUUGAUUGAGAUGCCUAUGGUACUAUUUUCCAGUGCUAGGCCCACAGUGACCCUCCAUUGUACAGUUUAAUGAAGCUAUUAAUGGAUUUAGUCUGCAGCUGAAGACUUCAGUCUGGUAUGUGAUUGUGAACAGUGAUAAAACACUAAAAAGUGAUUUAGAGAUACACAAUAAUCAUUAGUGGUUACAAUAUGCAUAUUUUUCCAUUGUGAAUCAAAUAAAGUUCUGUGUUCUAUUACAAUAAUGUGCAUCAUAUUAGAAAAAAAUCACUUCUAAAUAGUAAUACAGGACUAUUUUGAGGCAUCUAAACUUUGAUCAUGAAGUAAGAAAUUUAUGUUGAUAUUUAUUAUUUUUCAGUUUUUUUUCUAUACUGACAUUAUCAUAUUGUGGUGCGAAAAAUCAGUUCUACACAAUAAAUUGUAUCACAUCUGCUAUUAAACUCAACGUUUUCCAUUGCAA